CCUUACCAGGGUUCUUGGUAAGUUACCCCGCACCAAACGCAUGCAAGCUGGUCCUUCUCCAUCUCCUGCCGUUCGUUCGAUGACUCCUAAAGGUCCAAUAUCUUUUCGAUCGCGUUAAAAGUACGAAAAUUCUGUCUCCGCGAGGUGUUUUAACGGAGUCUGGUACCUCCGGCCAAGCGUGCAAGACCUGCAGGUCAUAAAGGAAAACAGAUCAAAACAAAUUCACCCACACAAUCUUGAAAUGACACGUGGAUACAAUUCACGUGUCCCUGUACGUCGGUUGGUGGGUGUUUCUCUCGGUGAAGUUGGUCAUCGAGUAGCAAGC
rnacentral:lncRNA from 1 species